GACGAACGCUGGCGGCGUGCUUAACACAUGCAAGUCGAACGGACAGGCCCUGCUUUUGUGGCUUGCUCGUUUGCCGAACGGGUGUGUAUCACGUGUGUAACCUCCCCUUGACUUUGGGGUAACUUCACGAAACUCGGGCUCAUACCGGAUAUGAUCUCCUGCUGCAUGUUGGGCGUUGGUAAAUUUCGGCGGUUGGGGAUGGACUCGCGGCUUAUCCGCUUGUUUGUGUGGUAGUGGCUUACCAAGGCUUUGACGGGUAGCCGGCCUGAGAGGGUGACCGGCCACAUUGGGACUGAGAGACGGCCCAGACGCCUACGGGAGGCAGCAGUGGGGAAUAUUGCACAAUGGGCGGAAGCCUGAGGCAGCAACGCCGCGUGCGGGAUGACGGCCUUCGGGUUGUAAACCGCUUUCGCCUGUGACGAAGCGUGAGUGACGGUAAUGGGUAAAGAAGCACCGGCUAACUACGUG
rnacentral:rRNA from 1 species